GCGGUGUUUAACUGGCGUGAUGUGGGACGUCCUACCGGUGGGCUUAGCCUCGCGAGGGGCGGCCCAAAUAAUAUCCCGUCGCGGUGCUCUUUACUGCGUGUCGAGUCGGGCCGGUACGUUUACUUUGAACAAAUUAGAGUGCUUAAAGCAGGCUAUCCUCGCCUGAAUACUUCGUGCAUGGAGUAAUGGAAUAGGACCUCGGUUCUAUUUUGUUGGUUUUCGGAACCCCGAGGUAAUGAUUAAUAGGGACAGAUGUGGGCAUUCGUAUUGCGACGUUAGAUGUGAAAUUCUUGGAUCGUCGCAAGACGGACAGAAGCGAAAUCAUUUGCCAAAAAUGUUUUCAUUAAUCAAGAACGAAAGUUAGAGGUUCGAAGGCGAUCAGAUACCGCCCUAGUUCUCACCAUAAACAAGGCCAGCUAGCGAUUCGCCGAAGUUUCUCCGAUGACUCGGCGGGCAGCUUCCGGGAAACCAAAGCUUUUGGGUUCCGGGGGGAGUAUGGUUGCAAAGCUGAAUCUUAAGGAAUUGCCGGAAGGG
rnacentral:ncRNA from 1 species